UUACGUGAGAAAAUGGAUAAAUAUAAGGCAUAAAUAUCCAAGUUUCUAGCAACUUCUUCAAAUUUCCAGCAGAUUCUUCAAGCUUCCAGCAACUUUUUCUUCUUCCUCACCCAUCCAAUGCCAUUUUUCAUUCCACCUCCAUGAAAAUCAAAUUUUUCAUGUGAUUUUUCCUUGUUUUCUUUUUAUUUCUUUUCUUUUCCUAAUCCUUCCUUCUCCUAACUUCUUGGCCACUGAAUUUGCAGCUUCUAACCCCAAUUUCCAGCACAUCUAAACCCUAGGAGAGAGAGAGAAAAAUCUUUCCUUGUUUCUUAUAUUUUCUAUUUCUACUUCACUUUCAGCAACACUAGGAUUUUUGGCUUCAAAUCUUCAUUUUCAAGGUUGAAAGGUAUCAAUUUCCAACUUUUGGAAAUUUUGAAUUUAUGGCUAUAUUUUCAGAUUUAUUCUCUAAUUUCUUCAAAUUAUUUUUCUUGGAAAGAUUAGGUUUUUGGUUGAUCUUCAUN
rnacentral:lncRNA from 1 species